rnacentral:rRNA from 1 species
UAAUUAAUUAUUAGUAAAACCUGCUCAACGAAAAUUUAAAUAGCCGCAGUUAACCUGUGCUAAGGUAGCAUAAUCACUUGCUUUUCAAAUGAAAGAUAGUAUGAAUGGUUAAACGAUAAUAGACUUUUCAUUUCAAUAAAAUUAAUUUAAUAUUAAAGUAAAAAAUCCUUAAUUAACAAACAAGACGACAAGACCCUAAUGAACUUAUAAAUUUAGUUGGGGCAACAAAAAAACAACAUCUUAUAUUAAUAAUUAAAUAAAACUCGUUAAACAAAUAUAAUAUAGUUACCGUAGGGAUAACAGCGCAAUUUUUUUAAAGAGUUCCCAUCCAAAAAAAAACUUACGACCUCGAUGUUGAAUUAAUUAAACUGUGACAGGAGCAAAAACCUCAUAAGUCAGUCUGUUCGACUAUAAAAAAAUU